rnacentral:sRNA from 1 species
GAUGUGCCGGGAAGACAUGUGGAGACCUUCAGCACUAGUGGCAAUGGCGCUUACUUCCAUAUCUGGCAGCUGUCUACGCCUUAGACCACUUCUCCAAGUCGCUCUUCCUGGACCUGGUGGAGCUCCAGCGAGGACUUGCAUCAGGAGACCGCAGCGCCAGACAGGCAGAGCUUGGACGUGAGAUCCACGCCCUGGCAUCGGCCAGCAAGCCCCUGGCCUCGUGGACCACCCAGCAAGGAAUUCAGGAAUGCCGGGAGGCGUGUGGAGGACACGGCUAUCUGGCCAUGAACCGGUUGGGUGUCCUUAGAGAUGACAACGAUCCCAACUGCACAUACGAAGGUGACAACAACAUCCUGCUGCAGCAGACAAGCAACUAUUUGCUGGGCCUCCUGGCACACCAGGUCCAGGAUGGAGCUUGCUUCCGCAGUCCGCUGAAGUCAGUGGACUUUCUGGACGCCUAUCCCGGCAUCCUUGACCAGAAGUUUGAGGUCUCCAGUGUUGCCGACUGCUUGGACUCUGCAGUCGCCCUGGCAGCAUACAAGUGGCUGGUUUGCUACCUGCUCCGAGAGACUUAUC